rnacentral:lncRNA from 1 species
AGUACGCGAUAGAGAAUUCUCGCGAGCUUAUAAAGGCACAGCCUUAAAGUAAACAUUUGAUGCACGAACUUUUUGAUUCAAAAUAGUAGAUGACGAUGAAUCCAUGGCUUUGAAAAAGAAAGUGCUGUCAGCCAAAAUUUUAACAUCUAAAUAUUCGGAAAAUGCGCCGUAAGUAAGCUUAAACUUGUAAGUUCCAUCUCCUUCAUCCUCAAUGAAAAAGUAAGUUUUGGCAAGAUCACCCUCCAUAGUACGGUAAUAAGGUCUUUCAUCACAACAUGUAACAACCCGCUUCAAAGUACUAUCGUAGUAGAAAAUUCCUUCAGAACCGGCGGGCGAAGGGUUCGAACUAGCAAUACCAAAUCCGUCAGAUUCCCGGUAAGUCAGGUAAGAAGGAGAGAUUGAAUCGUUUUCGACAAGAAUACGGAAUGCAUUACUGCUGGUACAUUUGCUAUUACAGCCAGGGAAUAAAGAAGGUACCACUUGUAAUACAGUACCAGUAGACGUACCCGAAGCUGUAGCCACGGUAGUAGCAUACGAACUAGAGCCCAAUGAAGUUGUAACAGUAACAUACCCAGCAGUAGGUUCAACGAUCAUUACAGUUCCCGAUACUGUACCCUGUACAGGAUAUGUGGUAGUAUAUCCAACUGAUCCAGAAACAACCGUUUCAGUAACAACACCAGCAGUCGGUUCAACAACCUCAACCGUUCCUGAAACAGUGUCAUGAGCCGGAUAUGUAGUAGUAUAUCCAACCGAUCCAGAAACAACCGUUUCAGUAACAACGCCAGCAGUAGGUUCAACAACCUCAACCGUUCCUGAAACAGUGUCAUGAGCCGGAUAUGUAGUAGUAUAUCCAACCGAUCCAGAAACAACCGUUUCAGUAACAACACCAGCAGUAGGUUCAACAACCUCAACCGUUCCUGAAACAGUGUCAUGAGCCGGAUAUGUAGUAGUAUAUCCAACUGAUCCAGAAACAACCGUUUCAGUAACAACACCAGCAGUAGGUUCAACAACCUCAACCGUUCCUGAAACAGUGUCAUGUGCGGGAUAUGUAGUAGUAUAUCCAACCGAUCCAGAAACAACCGUUUCAGUAACAACACCAGCAGUAGGUUCAACAACCUCAACCGUUCCUGAAACAGUGUCAUGUGCGGGAUAUGUAGUAGUAUAUCCAACCGAUCCAGAAACAACCGUUUCAGUAACAACACCAGCAGUAGGUUCAACAACCUCAACCGUUCCUGAAACAGUGUCAUGUGCGGGAUAUGUAGUAGUAUAUCCAACCGAUCCAGAAACAACCGUUUCAGUAACAACACCAGCAGUAGGUUCAACAACCUCAACCGUUCCUGAAACAGUGUCAUGUGCGGGAUAUGCAGUAGUAUAUCCAACCGAUCCAGAAACAACCGUUUCAGUAACAACACCAGCAGUAGGUUCAACAACCUCAACCGUUCCUGAAACAGUGUCAUGAGCCGGAUAUGUAGUAGUAUAUCCAACUGAUCCAGAAACAACCGUUUCAGUAACAACACCAGCAGUAGGUUCAACAAUGAUAUGUUCACCGCUGACUGUUCCACUAGCAGAAACUACACUAGUAAAAAACCUUGAACCAGACACUACAGUCAUAGUGUUCGUACCAGCGGUAGGCAAAACAACCUCUACAGUUCCACUCACAGUGCCACUAGCAUCCGUAGUAGUGGUAAAGAACUUUGAACCGGAAAUUUUAGUAACAGUACGGGUUCCGGCAGUAGGGAUUACUACCUCAACAGUACCACUAGUAGUUCCAUUGGCAGGGAAUGUGGAAGUAUACAAUUCAGAACCAGAAAUCUCGGUUUCA